AGUGAACGCUGGCGGUAGGCCUAACACAUGCAAGUCGAACGGCAGCACAGUAAGAGCUUGCUCUUACGGGUGGCGAGUGGCGGACGGGUGAGGAAUACAUCGGAAUCUACUUUUUCGUGGGGGAUAACGUAGGGAAACUUACGCUAAUACCGCAUACGACCUACGGGGGAAAGCAGGGGAUCUUCGGACCUUGCGCGAUUGAAUGAGCCGAUGUCGGAUUAGCUAGUUGGCGGGGUAAAGGCCCACCAAGGCGACGAUCCGUAGCUGGUCUGAGAGGAUGAUCAGCCACACUGGAACUGAGACACGGUCCAGACUCCUACGGGAGGCAGCAGUGGGGAAUAUUGGACAAUGGGCGCAAGCCUGAUCCAGCCAUACCGCGUGGGUGAAGAAGGCCUUCGGGUUGUAAAGCCCUUUUGUUGGGAAAGAAAAGCAGCAGGUUAAUACCCCGCUGUUCUGACGGUACCCAAAGAAUAAGCACCGGCUAACUUCGCG
rnacentral:rRNA from 1 species